GACGAACGCUGGCGGCGUGCUUAACACAUGCAAGUCGAACGAUGAAGCCUAGCUUGCUUGGUGGAUUCGUGUCGCACGCGUGAGUAAUACGCGAGUAACCUCCCCUUAACUCUUGGAUAUGCCUGGGAAACUGUGUCUCAUACCGGAUACGACCACUCCCCGCAUGUGGUGUUGGUGGAAAGCUUUAUGUAGUGGUUAUAGAUGGGCCCACGGCCUAUCAGCUUGUUGGUGAGGUAACGGCCCACCAAGGCGACGACGGGUAGCCGGCCUGAGAGGGUGACCGGCCACACUGGGACUGAGACACGGCCCAGACUCCUACGGGAGGCAGCAGUGGGGAAUAUUGCACAAUGGGCGGAAGCCUGAUGCAGCGACGCCGCGUGAGGGAUGACGGCCUUCGGGUUGUAAACCGCUGUUAGCAGGGAAGAAGAGAAAGUGACGGUAACUGCAGAGAAAGCGCCGGCUAACUACGUG
rnacentral:rRNA from 1 species